rnacentral:rRNA from 1 species
AUUGAACGCUGGCGGCAGGCCUAACACAUGCAAGUCGAGCGGAUGAAGAGAGCUUGCUCUCUGAUUCAGCGGCGGACGGGUGAGUAAUGUCUAGGAAUCUGCCUGGUAGUGGGGGACAACGUUUCGAAAGGAACGCUAAUACCGCAUACGUCCUACGGGAGAAAGUGGGGGAUCUUCGGACCUCACGCUAUCAGAUGAGCCUAGGUACGAUUAGCUGGUUGGGGAGGUAAAGGCUCACCAAGGCGACGAUCGUUAACUGGUCUGAGAGGAUGAUCAGACACACUGGAACUGAGACACGGUCCAGACUCCUACGGGAGGCAGCAGUGGGGAAUAUUGGACAAUGGGCGAAAGCCUGAUCCAGCCAUGCCGCGUGUGUGAAGAAGGUCUUCGGAUUGUAAAGCACUUUAAGUUGGGAGGAAGGGCAGUAAGUUAAUACCUUGCUGUUUUGACGUUACCGACAGAAUAAGCACCGGCUAACUUCGUGCCAGCAGCAGCCGCAGUAA